rnacentral:rRNA from 1 species
AUGUCGCCAUGGACCUCCAUCCCCGGUGCGCCGGACCCCUCUUCCCCACCGCGCCACCGCCCCCCUCUGCCUCACCGGGUCGCACCGCGUCCCCCCUCCUCCGCCUCACCGCGCCUUCCCCAAGCGCGACGCCGUCGACACAAUUGCAGGGCCAACUUGCCGCUGACCAUGCAAUCUUCCUCAAGGAGCUCGUGUCCAACGAGACUUACUGAUGGACAUAUGAGGUCGUGUGGCCACACUUUUUUUGAAGGCGUAUCUCCAUGCAAUCACACCUUUUUCCCUGGUCCUUUGAGAGGGGCGGUCGCCGGCGGAGGGCGGAGUGUCGGCAACAACCACCUCUGCCCCAUCCUGCUCCUCCUCAUCGCGUGA